rnacentral:rRNA from 1 species
GACGAACGCUGGCGGCGUGCUUAACACAUGCAAGUCGAACGAUGAAGGAGAGCUUGCUCUUUGGAUUAGUGGCGAACGGGUGAGUAACACGUGAGUAACCUGCCCUGGACUCUGGGAUAACUGCGGGAAACUGUAGCUAAUACCGGAUAUGACCUUGGACCGCAUGAUUCUUGGUGGAAAGUUUUUCGGUCUGGGAUGGA